UACUUGCAAGCAUCUCGCCUGUACAACUCCAUGUUACCUUUUCAAAACAAAGGCAAAUAUUUAGGGAAAAAUAACACCACACCAAACAAAUAAACAAAAACCAAAUAGACCUCUAGAAUGAUUUCAGACGGUGAUUAAUUGUGAAGGCAAAGUCCUAAAGAAGUCUCAAACACAAAGUAAAAGAAAGAGGAUGUGGCCCAGAGGAUCUGUCCUCAGCAGAAAAAAAGAGUAGGAUUUAACGCCUCUUAUAAAAUUCA
rnacentral:lncRNA from 1 species